rnacentral:tRNA from 1 species
CUAAUUUUGACAGAACAUUGUCAUCGUCUUCAGAAGUCAUUUUAUGUAUCCAUAAAUCAUACUAUCAGUA